UACGUAGGGGGCAAGCGUUGUCCGGAAUCAUUGGGCGUAAAGCGCGUGUAGGCGGCUUGGUAAGUCUGCUCUGAAAGCCCGGGGCUCAACCCCGGGAGGCGGGUGGAUACUGUCAAGCUCGAGUCCGGAAGAGGAGUGUGGAACUCCUGGUGUAGCGGUGAAAUGCGCAGAUAUCAGGAGGAACACCGGUGGCGAAGGCGACAUCCUGGACCGGUAUUGACGCUGAGGCGCGAAAGCCAGGGGAGCAAACGGG
rnacentral:rRNA from 1 species